UCUUGGUUUUCUUCUCAUAGCCUUUCUUCAAAACAGUGCUGACUGGAUCUAGGAAGACUUCCCAAGAAAGACUGAAGCUAGUUUCCUGGCACCCCAACUCAUCCAUGAGUAAGGAAAUUACUCCCCAGGACAAGGAUAAAAUAAGGAUUUUAUUAUGGAAUUCCAACUAGAUCACAGAAGAGCCCUUGCAGAUGGGAGCAGCUGUUGGGAGCCUGUGCUGGGAGCCACUGCCAAGAAAAAUUGCCAGAAGCUGCUGCUGGGAAGCCACUGUGGGAGCAGAGGGAAUUGUCAGGAGUCUCAGCCUUCUUCAUCAUACCAUUGGAAGUAACCACAGAGGUCAAGCAAGAAUGUGAUUGUGUUUCUCUCUAAAUACCAUGUGUGUACAUCUGUAUCUACAUUGACAUUUAGAUAUAGAUGUCAGUAUCUUACAUAUUUCUUUGUGUUCCAUUCCACAGUAGAGGAUCAACUUUGUUCCUUUCAUUACUUACUUAGUUAAUAUUUAUGUAUGCCCUCUCUGAAAAAGAUGAAAUAAAAAGAAAACUUUCA